GCUUGACUGCGAGACAGACACGUCGAGCAGGUACGAAAGUAGGUCUUAGUGAUCCGGUGGUUCUGUAUGGAAGGGCCAUCGCUCAACGGAUAAAAGGUACUCCGGGGAUAACAGGCUGAUACCGCCCAAGAGUUCAUAUCGACGGCGGUGUUUGGCACCUCGAUGUCGGCUCAUCACAUCCUGGGGCUGAAGCCGGUCCCAAGGGUAUGGCUGUUCGCCAUUUAAAGUGGUACGCGAGCUGGGUUUAGAACGUCGUGAGACAGUUCGGUCUCUAUCUGCCGUGGACGUUUGAGAUUUGAGAGGGGCUGCUCCUAGUACGAGAGGACCGGAGUGGACGAACCUCUGGUGUUCCGGUUGUCACGCCAGUGGCAUUGCCGGGUAGCUAUGUUCGGAAAAGAUAACCGCUGAAAGCAUCUAAGCGGGAAACUUGCCUCAAGAUGAGAUCUCACUGGGAACUUGAUUCCCCUGAAGGGCCGUCGAAGACUACGACGUUGAUAGGCUGGGUGUGUAAGCGUUGUGAGGCGUUGAGCUAACCAGUACUAAUUGCCCGUGAGGCUUGACCAU
rnacentral:rRNA from 1 species